CGCUGGCGGCGUGCUUACACAUGCAAGUCGAACGAGAAAGCAUCCUUCGGGAUGUGAGUAAAGUGGCGCACGGGUGAGUAACGCGUGGGUAACCUACCCCUUAAUCCGGAAUAACUUCGCGAAAGCGCUGCUAAUACCGGAUGCCGUCCGAAAGGCUGUGGCUUUUCGGAUGAAAGGUGACCUCUCCAUGGAAGUUGCCGUUUAGGGAUGGGCUCGCGUCCCAUUAGCUAGUUGGUAGGGUAAUGGCCUACCAAGGCGAUGAUGGGUAGCUGGUCUGAGAGGAUGAUCAGCCACACUGGCACUGAAACACGGGCCAGACUCCUACGGGAGGCAGCAGUGAGGAAUUUUGCGCAAUGGGGGAAACCCUGACGCAGCGACACCGCGUGAGGGAGGAAGGCCUUCGGGUCGUAAACCUCUUUUCUUGGGGAAGAAUUAUGACGGUACCCAAGGAAUAAGCCUCGGCCAACUACGUGCCAGCAGCCGCGGUAAUACGUAGGAGGCGAACGUUAUUCGGAUUUACUGGGCGUAAAGGGAGCGUAGGCGGUUCAUCAAGUCAGACGUAAAAUCUUCCGACUCAAUCGGAAGGCGCCAUCUGAUACUGAUGGACUUGAGAGCAACAGAGGGAAAUGGAAUCCCCAGUGUAGCGGUGAAAUGCGUAGAUAUUGGGGAGAACACCAGUGGCGAAGGCGAUUUUCCAGGUUGUUUCUGACGCUGAGGCUCGAAAGCGUGGGGAGCGAAGCGGAUUAGAUACCCGCGUAGUCCACGCCCUAAACGGUGGNACACUAA
rnacentral:rRNA from 1 species